CUCCUGUUCUACACUUCCCCCCU
rnacentral:piRNA from 1 species